GAUGAACGCUGGCGGCGUGCCUAAUACAUGCAAGUCGAGCGAACAGACGAGGAGCUUGCUCCUCUGACGUUAGCGGCGGACGGGUGAGUAACACGUGGAUAACCUACCUAUAAGACUGGGAUAACUCCGGGAAACCGGAGCUAAUACCGGAUAAUAUAUUGAACCGCAUGGUUCAAUAGUGAAAGACGGUUUUGCUGUCACUUAUAGAUGGAUCCGCGCCGCAUUAGCUAGUUGGUAAGGUAACGGCUUACCAAGGCGACGAUGCGUAGCCGUCCUGAGAGGGUGAUCGGCCACACUGGAACUGAGACACGGUCCAGACUCCUACGGGAGGCAGCAGUAGGGAAUCUUCCGCAAUGGGCGAAAGCCUGACGGAGCAACGCCGCGUGAGUGAUGAAGGUCUUCGGAUCGUAAAACUCUGUUAUUAGGGAAGAACAAAUGUGUAAGUAACUAUGCACGUCUUGACGGUACCUAAUCAGAAAGCCACGGCUAACUACGUG
rnacentral:rRNA from 1 species